UACAGAGGUCUCAAGCGUUGUUCGGAUUUAUUGGGCGUAAAGGGCGCGUAGGCGGCGGGGUAAGUCGGGUGUGAAAUCUCAGGGCUCAACCCUGAAACUGCACUUGAUACUGCUCUGCUUGAGGACUGGAGAGGAGACUGGAAUUCCACGUGUAGCAGUGAAAUGCGUAGAUAUGUGGAGGAACACCGAUGGCGAAGGCAGCCCCCUGGGUUAACACUGACGCUCAUGCACGAAAGCGUGGGGAGCAAACAGG
rnacentral:rRNA from 1 species